UACGUAGGGUGCGAGCGUUAAUCGGAAUUACUGGGCGUAAAGCGUGCGUAGGCGGUUCGUUAAGUCAGCUGUGAAAGCCCCGGGCUCAACCUGGGAACUGCGGUUGAAACUGGCGAACUAGAAUCUGGCAGAGGGGGGUGGAAUUCCACGUGUAGCAGUGAAAUGCGUAGAGAUGUGGAGGAAUACCGAUGGCGAAGGCAGCCUCCUGGGCCAACACUGACGCUCAUGCACGAAAGCGUGGGGAGCAAACAGG
rnacentral:rRNA from 1 species